rnacentral:rRNA from 1 species
UACGGGGGGAGCAAGCGUUGUUCGGAAUUACUGGGCGUAAAGGGCGCGUAGGCGGUCUGUUAAGUUCGGUGUGAAAGCCCCCGGCUCACCUGGGGAACUGCGCCGGAAACCGACAGACUCGAGUACCGGAGAGGAGGGUGGAAUUCCUGGUGUAGCGGUGAAAUGCGUAGAUAUCAGGAGGAACACCGGUGGCGAAGGCGGCCCUCUGGACGGAUACUGACGCUGAGGUGCGAAAGCGUGGGGAGCAAACAGG